CCCGCUGUGCGAGCAGAGCAGAGGAGUACAGCUGGGGCGCGUGUGGGUUGGGUUCAGGAACAGGUUGGGGCGCGUGUGCGUUUCCCCGUUCGAGAAAAAGGGCAGAAUCCUAGCCGCCUGGCCUUGGCCGCUACGGCGUCCGGCUGCUGCUGCUGCCCGUUGCCAUUCCUGUGAAACCGUGGUGAGAGAGCGAAGGAGCGAGCCUGCUUCCCCUGCUGGGGGUUCUUGAUUCUUUACAAGAUUGGCUGCAAUCAUCGCCGCUAUCAUCAAUCACCAAGCAAGCAAGCCAUGGCAUUCGCAGAUGGGGACCCAUCCUCUUCUUCGUCCUGCUCUUCGUGGGAUAGCGACGAUGAGUACCAGAAGUUCAUCCAAAAGAUGAACCCUCCAAGGGUCACGAUUGACAACACCUCAUGUGCAAAUGCUACCACCAUUCAUGUGGACAGCGCCAACAAGUAUGGGAUACUGCUGGAGGUUGUGCAGGUCCUCACUGACCUCAAGCUCAUUGUCAAGAAAGCGUACAUAUCCUCUGACGGGGGGUGGUUCAUGGAUGUGUUCAAUGUGACGAAUCAAAGUGGGCAGAAGAUAAUGGACGAAUUUGUGCUGGAAGGGAUAAAAGAUUACAUUUACAAGUCUAUCGCGACUAGUUCUUGCUUUCUUCCUUCACGGAGGGCCAUUGGAGUCGAGCCUUCCUCUGACUACACCUUGAUAGAGCUAACUGGAACUGACAGACCCGGUCUUCUCUCUGAAGUGAGCGCCGUGCUCACAAAUCUGGACUGUAACGUGAUGAAUGCUGAGGUGUGGACACAUAACAAAAGAGCAGCAGCAGUCAUCCAGGUCACUGAUAGGAAGUCUGGGUUGGCAAUUUCGGAUGUAGAAAGGCUUGGCAGAAUCAAGGAGCGGCUUCGUAAUGUGUUCAAGGGAAGGAGUAGAGAUGCCAAGACAACAGUUGCAAUGGGGAUAACCCACACAGAGCGGCGCCUGCACCAAAUGAUGCUUGAGGAUCGAGAUUAUGAAAGGUAUGACAAGGAUAGGGCGAAUGCCAACCCCAUGCCCAUGGUCUCGGUUGUUAAUUGGCUUCAGAAAGAUUAUUCUGUGGUGACAAUGCGGUGCAAGGAUCGACCAAAGCUUCUCUUCGACACAGUUUGCACUCUAACAGAUAUGCAAUAUGUGGUUUACCAUGGGAGUGUGGAUACUGAGGGACCUCAAGCUUACCAGGAGUAUUAUAUUAGGCACAUUGAUGGAUCACCUGUCAACUCAGAGGCAGAGAGAAAACGAAUCAUCCAAUGUCUUGAAGCAGCUAUAGAACGGAGAGUAUCCGAGGGCCUGGAGUUAGAGUUGUCAACAGUCGACAGAGUGGGUCUGUUAUCAGAUGUAACGCGCAUUUUCCGUGAGAACGGCUUGACAGUCACAAGAGCAGAAGUUUCAACUAAGGGUAACAAGGCGAUCAACACUUUCUAUGUCCGUGACACAGCAGGGAGCACGGUCGAUUUGAAGACGCUAGAAGCCAUAAGGCAGGAGAUAGGGCAGACCGUGCUUCAAGUAAAAGGGCACCCUGAUCACCUGAAAUCUCCAGCACAAGAAUCACCGACUAGGUUUCUCUUCAGCAGUCUCUUCAGACCAAGAUCACUCUGAAACCUUGGAUUGAAGCCUGAGCAGCCCCACAGUUGGGGACGAAGCCGGGUUACACCACGCUGCCAUCACAUCAGAAUGGACAGUGAAGGCAGAAUGGGCAUUGCUCCCUUGGGGAUAUUCAGAGGGUGUGGUGAAGCGUGAUACGGCGGCGGCGACAUACUUGUCCAAGGAAUCGGGCCGACGGCGACCCGGAUGUCAUUUGUGCCGGGCGCACAUGUCAAAAUGGCCGCCAGCUCGGCAGGGGCCUACCAUGGCUGCAACUUGGCGUUGGGGCUUGGACUUCGCGAGGGGAAUGGAUGAAUCCUGGCCUCAGAGGCAGGCAGUGAGGCAGAGGCGUCUAGGUAUCUCCUCUCGUGGCACCAACUAGCUAAAGGCUAGCCGGGCAUUUUUGGUAGGCUUGCAGCCUUUUGUUCUCAACCAUGUUUCCUCAUUUUCGGUUGUGCUGUCUCUUUGCCUACUAGUAGUACUAUACUAUCAAGUUACCAUCCGGUUUGCUAUAGUUUCAAGAUCAUCAGCAUUUCAGUCCCUAGGCAUCGUGUCAAUUUUCUUCGCUACAGUUUGGGUAAUUGGGUUUCGCCUACUUGGCUACUUCAUCCUGCUCUUUGUAGUAGCCCACAAAAGAUGCUGUUCUCCUGAUGUAGUAAGCACACAAAGUUUGGUGAUUUUGGAAUAGAAAGCACAGAUUUUGUGUGCUCAGAAAUAAGGGAAAUACACCGUGUCUCAUGGUCUGUCAAGUCUUAUGGAAUACUAUACCUUUUUUACUGAUCCUUUUUCUGAAUGUUUCCAAUAGGUGAUUUUAAGACCCUGUGCCGUAGUACCACUGUACCACCAGAAUCUUUCAUAACACCUAGAGGGCCCUACAGGCAGGGCCACAGUGCCCAGCUAAGUUCCUGCCUGCAGAUAUUUCUGGCGUCAGACUUGCAGCAACUUCUCAGUGAGACCUUAUCUCUUGCACUGCUAGGGGCACAGAGGACUGCCAAUCAUCCCUGGGUAUGAGCUGGGACAGAUCUGGUGCUGCUACAUGUUGGAGCUGGAGGAGGAUCUCAACUCUUCAAGAUCUGUGUGCAUCAUGCAUCAACAAUCGGUCAUCAGUGAAGAGCUGGUCUUUUCAUAUGGUGGGUGGCUGCAAAACUUAACCAGAAAGGAUUGGUGAGCAUACAUCUAUCUUUAGGGACUUCAGCAGCUGCUGCUGAAACCAAGUGGAUUCCAACAAACAAGUUGGAGCCUAUCAGGUUCCGAGGGGCAGCAAUGUGUUGUAUCCCACACCUCCUGUACUAUGUAGGGCAAUCACAGCUUCACAAUGCCCACCUAUGCUGUCCAGAAAGCCCUCUUAUGACACAAUGGUUGCUAGGACCACUUCUGGUGGGCACUACCAGGCACAUGUGGCAUAGUCUUAGAACGUGUGUUUCUGUACAACUACAAUCACUGCUCUUUUUUUUAUUUGAUACUUGUGUUUCACUGCUUCUA